GAUGAACGCUGGCGGCGUGCCUAAUACAUGCAAGUCGAGCGAACAGAUGAGGAGCUUGCUCCUCUGACGUUAGCGGCGGACGGGUGAGUAACACGUGGAUAACCUACCUAUAAGACUGGGAUAACUUCGGGAAACCGGAGCUAAUACCGGAUAAUAUAUUGAACCGCAUGGUUCAAUAGUGAAAGACGGUUUUGCUGUCACUUAUAGAUGGAUCCGCGCCGCAUUAGCUAGUUGGUAAGGUAACGGCUUACCAAGGCAACGAUGCGUAGCCGACCUGAGAGGGUGAUCGGCCACACUGGAACUGAGACACGGUCCAGACUCCUACGGGAGGCAGCAGUAGGGAAUCUUCCGCAAUGGGCGAAAGCUUGACGGAGCAACGCCGCGUGAGUGAUGAAGGUCUUCGGAUCGUAAAACUCUGUUAUUAGGGAAGAACAAAUGUGUAAGUAAUUAUGCACGUCUUGACGGUACCUAAUCAGAAAGCCACGGCUAACUACGUG
rnacentral:rRNA from 1 species